UCUCGUCUCUCUUUUCCAGCCUGAGGCCAUCAUCCACCAGCCGCAUUUGAGCCAAGGCAAUCUUCCCUCACAGAUAUUAAAUGCUAAGCAAUAGGACUCAGAGAUGCCUUAAAAUCAGAGAUUCGAGUGGGAUGAUGUUUGGAGAUUUCCAGGGAGUCAGCUGGAGGUGCAGAAGUGAUGGAAAACUCACAGCUCCUGAGCAGUGCCAGGGCCGCCGGGAGGGAGCUCAGACCCAAAAAAUCCCCACAGCCCACGGAGUGAAUGACCCCAGCAGAGAAAGGCAGCGUUGUAAUGAAAAACUUGGAGCUCUGUGGAAAAGGCUCUGACAACAAGCCCGAGGCCGCUCCUCUGCCCCCGUCCCACACCGGGGCACAGAAGGGGAAAGGCUCCAGGAAACAUUCCUGCAGUCCAUCGGCAAUGAUUUCCAAUUGCCCAGCGAGAGGAACGGGAGCUCCCAGCCGCCGAGGCCUGAGGGGUUCCUGCGGCGAGAGCUCGGCGCGAGUCCGCAGAGAGAGAGAGGGGAGACGUGGGAGUGGGAAAAGCAGAACUCCCACAGCCACUGAUCCGCAGCCCCGGGAGAAGCUGGGAUUGAUGUACAAAGACAGGACACGGACCCUCUCCACUUCCCUGGAAAACCCGCUCCAGCCCCAGGCUGUACCAAGGGCAGCACAAGUCUGGAGAGGUCAGAAGCCUCACCUGGACUGCUGCACCCGGAGCGAGAUCCAGCUACAAAUGGAAUUCCAGAAACAGCCUCCAAAAUGUUCCAUAAUCACACCUUUAAAAUGGCUCCACAGGGCAACAGCUCCGGUGCCAGAGCAGCAUCUGCACGAGUCCUUGUGCCAGCCCUGGCUCCCUGAAAAACACAAUAAACCAACCAUCACACAGGCCUUGUGUGCAGAAUUCCUGAUCCAAACCCUCACCUGUCCUGCCCAGCACUGAGGGAAAUCUGGCACAGUAUUCAUAGGGAACCUUUGCUGAGAGCAGUCAUCACCCCAGUCCGCCAGCCUGGGCAAGAUUUUGCAGUGAAUAGACCCAACUUCUAACCCUGAACCUAAAUUUCUGUCAGCUUUUGUUAGAAAGAUCCUGGGGAGUAAAUCGUACAACAGAUUUAAAACAUUGCACAAGGAAUAAUCGGCCCAGACAAAACCAAACCACCCCAUCUCUGCUCCACCCCAUUUCUCCCAGUUUUGGAAGAAAUACUGAUAUAGUUUGUAAAUACUCCCCUUCCCUGCUACGCUGUCCUUCACUGCACGUCCCUGGAGAGGAUUUACUCCAUUUUUGUGCCCAGCAGCACCUCUGCAGCCCAAAUCCCACUCCUCACAGACACAGCCUGAGCAGACCUCGGGCAAUGUUCCAGCAGCGGAUGCAAUUCCGAGUUCCCCGGAUUGCUCUGGCGGGCGCUCGCAGCAAUCUCGCCUCAGCCCAGCCUCUCUGUGCUCAGAGGGAAGCGCAGCCCCGUGGGACACAGCUCUGGCACCACAUUCCCGUGUUCCUGCCGGCCUGGGAAGCCACAGAUAAUCCCAGUCCCUCUGGCCUUGCAGCCCCGAGCCCCAGGAGAGCUGGAGCUGUUCCCAGAUCCCGGCGCCCUGCACGGCUGCGCUGACACGAGCACAGGCUGAGCCCUGCCCAGCAGCGUUCCUCAUUUUCCUCCUCUGCUCCCACCUCCUGCCAGCCCUGCCCCUGCAGCUCUGCCCCAGCCCCAGCAGAGGCUGUCCCCCGGCCCUGCAGCAGCCGCAGAGCUGGGAAUGCGCCGGGAGCUCGGCUCCCCGGGCUCCCGAACCCAGAGCAGCCCUGGGGGGCACAAACAGUGCCCAGCCUGCCCCUCUGGGCACAGCCAAACAGCCCAGCUCCACCAUCCCCAAGGAACUCUGGCAUUUAUGUGCCUCUUCCCUGCUGCCCUUUCCCGGCACACAGGGCUGGGGCCGGGCUGCCAGAAAUGGCAUUCCCGAGGCAGUUCAUUCCAGCAGGGAGGAAAAGGGGAACCCUGUGUCCCUCUGACUUACCCCACAGCGUGGGCAGGACCAGGAGCCCUCCAGGGCACACCCCUGGUGCUGAAGCCUCUUGGCUCUGGCUGCUAAAACACUGAAGCUUCUGGCAAAGAUGGGAGGAGUUUAAUGAUUUCUCCUGUCCUGGAAGAGAGGAGGAAAAGAACAUUAAGUCCACUGUGGAAGCCAAAGGAUCCUGGCUUUCACACUUCUGCUGUGAUUGCUCACUCUGGGGUUUUAUCCAUGAGAGGUGACACCAAUUCAAAUAUAAAAGCACUUUUAUUCCUAACUAUUUCAUGAAAAGGAAGCUCAUUUUUCUUAUUGCAUUCUUAGCCUAAUUUUAACAGAACCAUUUUCAUCCCAGGUCCCACUUGUCAGUCAUUCAAUCCUUUACCACUGGACUUUGUACAAAGGAAGGGACACCUGGGUGCUGUGUCACAAGAAAUCCCAAAGAGAAACGUGUCCAAAACCUCACAGAGAAAGGUUUCAAGGCACUCCAGUGCACAGACAGCUGCUCAUGCCUUGUCAGGCCACACCAGUUCUGCCACAUCCACCUGAGCUGCACAGGCGAGGCAAACCCUGCCCUUCCUCCCAGGGAACACUGUCUGAGAGCACAGACAGCCAUCCUGGGUGAAAUGAAUGAAAUGAAAAUGUUUUCUGGCAGAAAAUGAGUGUCUGUAAUCAGAACUUUGGACAGAUUUAGUAACACCACUCUCAUGUGAUAAAUACAGGCCAUGCCCAUCCUUCCAGGCCAGUGAAACCAGGAAGGAGAACUACAGGAAAAGCAGGAAGAGAGAGUCCCUUAUUUGGAUAUAUAGAGAAUGCCCCUGGUUUGGUUGUUUUCCUUUGCUCCUAAGCUUUGGCUUCACCCCCUCUCCAGAGGAGCAGGGAAUUCCUCCAGGGUGAGGGAGAGUCUGGUCCCACUCCAAGAUGUGUCCAGUAAAGGAGGGAAGUUGUUUGGAGUAACUGACCAGUGUUUAUUUUACACACAAAAAUUACCCCUCAUGAAUCUUAUUACAAUACAUCUUUCAUAGUUCUAUUUCUCUAAAGUAUCUAGUGUUAUUCACAAACUCAUCCUUUAAAACUUGUUUCUAGUUCCAUUUCUCUCUCACCAAUUUCUGUCCUAUUCCAUGGCAUUUCUAAGUCAGCAUUUCUUAUCUCAAAAUUUCCAUUCAGAUACAUACUAUGUAAAGCUUCUGUCUAACCCUGACAAUUUUCUACAAGUCCAUUUCCCGCAGCAGAACUGCUCCCUGCCGAGCACAGCAGCUGUGUAAGUGCUGUUGCAGGGCACAAUGUCUGAAGGAACACAGGAGCUGUGACAUUACAGCCAGCAAAAGCAAUUGCUACGUAGAAAGAGAUCCUCACCUGGUCCAAGAACUGAACCUCUGUGGCUCAUCCUCACGGAGUGACCCUGCUCCAGGGAGGAAUCUCCACGCAGCCCCCGAGACCUGGGGUCAGACGCUGCCCUACCAGCAGAAGAACAAGGGGUUAGUGAAGCUUUUUGGACACAUUCUGUCCUCAGAGUGGUCUGACAAAACAUCCGUCAAUAUGGAUCUUUAAUAAAGGCAGCUUGUACCUAUGCUUGCA
rnacentral:lncRNA from 1 species